GCGCUCUUAGUUCAGUUCGGUAGAACCCGGGUCUCCAAAACCCGAUGUCGUAGGUUCAAAUCCUACAGAGCGUG
rnacentral:tRNA from 2 species